CAGGUAUCCAGUGCCAGCCGAGCCCCCUCACCAGAGGUGCCAAGUAUCCAGUGCCAGCCGAGCCCCCUCAAAGGUGCCAGGUAUCCAGUGCCAGCUGAGCCCCCUUACUGACAGGUAUCCAGUGCCAGCUGUGCCCCCUUACUGACAGAGGUGCCAGGUGUCCAGUACCAACUGUGCCUCUUCAGUAUGACAUGUGCCUAGUAUCCGGUGCCAGCCGAGCCUCCGUACUGUAGGGAGUGCCGGCCACGGCCUGUGGUGCCUCCCGCACUGAGGUGACGAGGUUAGGGGCCCGUGUUUCAGUCCAGGCUAUGGCUAUGAGCGAGCAGUGACCGUAGACAGGACGGAGGCAGCCCGGGUCCGCUCUCUCCGGAGACCUCGGCCGAUGCAGCUCCCGGCGCUCAGCCCGCAGCUCCUCCUCUAUCUCAUACGUUAAUCGGUGCCUUCGCCAUCUUUGGGGAGGGGAGGCGGAGCGAGGAGGAGCUGCCAUGGAGACGCCGAGUCCUCCGCAGCCAAUGAGGCUGA